rnacentral:lncRNA from 1 species
GUGGCUUUCCAGGAGAUUACUCUGGAUCAUCACCGAGGUAGGCACAAGCUCUCGCCUCACUUUAUUCAUUUUGCUUCUUCUCUUACAGGCUUAUUGUGACCAUCUACCAUUUUGGCAUGAAUUUACUAAAGAAACUUUUUUUGAGUUCCUAAGAAAAAAAGAAUAAUGUAGAAUGCUGCAUGUGGUAGAAAUAAGGAGUUGCAGGAUAGCUUUGGGAGGCCUGUGAAGUAAAAGACACUCAAUUCCUGAACAAAACUGGGAAAUAGAAAAGCAAAGAAGGGAAAGAUUAAAGGAGAAAAGUCAUGUGUUGAAAGAAGCAUUUGAGGAAAUCCAACACUUGUUCCUGAUAAAAACUCAUAGUGAACCAAAGACUGCUUGACAAGGGACUUGUCCUACCAUCAGUUCUUAGAUUGCCACCUUCCAGGCUCCUCAUCCAUUAGACUUUCCUCAGAUCUUUGACAGAAAGAACCCAGAAACCACUUCUAGACGGAGACUCUAGCGCCCCAAAACCUGGUCACAUGUUUAGCAGAGCCAGCCAGGAG